rnacentral:rRNA from 1 species
GAUGAACGCUGGCGGCGUGCUUAACACAUGCAAGUCGAACGGAAAGGCCGAAGCUUGCUUCGGUACUCGAGUGGCGAACGGGUGAGUAACACGUGGGUGAUCUGCCCUGGACUGUGGGAUAAGGUUGGGAAACUGGGUCUAAUACCGGAUAUGAUGAUCUCUUGGAUGGGGUUGUGGAAAGCUUUUGCGGUAUGGGAUGAGCUCGCGGCAUAGAAGCUUGUUGGUGGGGUAAUGGCCUACCAAGGCGUCGACGGGUAGCCGGCCUGAGAGGGUGUACGGCCACAUUGUGACUGAGAUAGUGCCCAGACUCCUACGAGAGGCAGCAGUGGGGAAUAUUGCACAAUGGGCGCAAGCCUGAUGCAGCGACGCCGCGUGGGGGAUGACGGCCUUCGGGUUGUAAACUCCUUUCGCAAUCGACGAAGCCUUUUGGUGACGGUAGGUUGAGAAUAAGCACCGGCUAACUACGUG